AUGCAGGAAAGCAUGAGACAAGGAAAUACAGCCAUGUCUGAUUGUGGCUUUUACUCUGACUCACUCAGAAUGUUGCUGCCAUCUCCGAGCCCAGCCAGAGUGACACCUGCCAGGUCCUUCAAGAGUGACCCACCAGGAGCCACGGCUUGUGGUUCACAGACACUCCUUCAACUCAGAACACAUCAUCUCAGCGGGAAGUUAGAGCCCAGAAGAGAAUCUGAAGGACUCUCCGCUCAGCCUGAGGGGAAAUGGGAAGCGGUUUUCCCUCCGCCUGGAGAAGGAAACCCCGAUUCUUCUCCCGCAUAGGUGGUGACACAGUCUCAGCAGAUUUCCCUUCGCCGGAC
rnacentral:lncRNA from 9 species